UGGGGAAUAUUGCACAAUGGGCGCAAGCCUGAUGCAGCCAUGCCGCGUGUAUGAAGAAGGCCUGCGGGUUGUAAAGUACUUUCAGUCGGGAGGAAGGUGUCAAGGUUAAUAACCUUGGCAAUUGACGUUACCGACAGAAGAAGCACCGGCUAACUCCGUGCCAGCAGCCGCGGUAAUACGGAGGGUGCAAGCGUUAAUCGGAAUUACUGGGCGUAAAGCGCACGCAGGCGGUUGAUUGAGUCAGAUGUGAAAUCCCCGGGCUUAACCCGGGGAUUGCAUCUGAUACUGGUCAGCUAGAGUCUUGUAGAGGGGGGUAGAAUUCCAUGUGUAGCGGUGAAAUGCGUAGAGAUGUGGAGGAAUACCGGUGGCGAAGGCGGCCCCCUGGACAAAGACUGACGCUCAGGUGCGAAAGCGUGGGGAGCAAACAGG
rnacentral:rRNA from 1 species